rnacentral:rRNA from 1 species
GGAAACUGAGAAUAAUACCCCAUAGAUCUAGAAUGCUGGAAUGCUCCUAGGUCGAAAGCUCCGGCGCCUAAGGAUUGGUCUGCGGCCUAUCAGGUAGUAGUGGGUGUAACGGACCCACUAGCCCAUGACGGGUAUGGGCCUUGGGAGAGGAAGCCCAGAGAUGGACUCUGAGACACGAGUCCAGGCCCUACGGGGCGCAGCAGUCGCGAAAACUUCACAAUGGGGGAAACCCCGAUGAGGGGAUUCCAAGUGCCAGCACACAGUGUUGGCUGUUCUUCUGUCUAAAUAGCAGGAGGAGUAAGGGCCGGGUAAGACGGGUGCCAGUAAUGCCCGCGGCCCGAGUGGUGGUCGAUUUUAUUGAGCCUAAAACGUCCGUAGCCGGCCUGGUAAAUCCUUGGGUAAAUCGGCCAGCUUAACUGUCCGAAUUCCGGGGAGACUGCCAGGCUUGGGACCGGGAGAGGUCAGAGGUACUUCUGGGGUAGGGGUAAAAUCCUGUAAUCCUGGAAGGACCACCGGUGGCGAAGGCGUCUGACUAGAACGGAUCCGACGGUGAGGGACGAAGCCCUGGGGCGCAAACGGGAUUAGAUACCCCGGUAGUCCAGGGUGUAAACGCUGCGGGC